rnacentral:rRNA from 1 species
UACGGAGGGUGCAAGCGUUAUCCGGAUUCACUGGGUUUAAAGGGUGUGUAGGCGGGUAUUUAAGUCAGUGGUGAAAUCUCCGGGCUCAACCCGGAAACUGCCAUUGAUACUAUUUAUCUUGAAUCUUGUUGAGGUAGGCGGAAUACAUCAUGUAGCGGUGAAAUGCUUAGAUAUGAUGUAGAACACCGAUUGCGAAGGCAGCUUACUAAACAAGCAUUGACGCUGAGGCACGAAAGCGUGGGGAGCAAACAGG